rnacentral:rRNA from 1 species
AUUGAACGCUGGCGGCGUGCUUAACACAUGCAAGUCGAGCGGUAACAGGCGUAGCAAUACGUGCUGACGAGCGGCGAACGGGUGCGUAAUACAUGGGAAUCUGCCUAGUAGUGGGGAAUAACCCGGCGAAAGCCGGGCUAAUGCCGCAUACGAUCCACGGAUGAAAGCGGGGGACCUUCGGGCCUCGCGCUAUUGGAUGAGCCCAUGUCGGAUUAGCUAGUUGGNGAGGUAACGGCUCACCAAGGCGACGAUCCGUAGCUGGUCUGAGAGGACGGCCAGCCACACUGGGACUGAGACACGGCCCAGACUCCUACGGGAGGCAGCAGUGGGGAAUAUUGGACAAUGGGGCAACCCUGAUCCAGCGACGCCGCGUGUGUGAAGAAGGCCUGCGGGUUGUAAAGC